AAGGUCUUGACCCCUGAACCCAGUCCUCUCUCUCCCAACCCUUGUACCAGUGCUAGAAUUGUAAAUCACUGGGACAAGGGCUGGAUGAGAGAGAGCCGGGAACCUAGAGGUCGUGGAGAU
rnacentral:precursor_RNA from 17 species